rnacentral:lncRNA from 1 species
AUGAAAGCCACCCUACUCAUAAAAGGAAGUUGCAAUUGCACGGACUCCCACCAUGGAGAAAGAAUCUUCAGAACUCAUCAGCAGGAGGCAUUACUGGACUUAGACGGAAAUUUAAAAGUUGGAGUUUCUUGUUCUGACAUUGAUCUGGACUCCAGUCUUAACGCAUGGCUGAGAGCACACAGAAGCACCAAAGUUUAG